rnacentral:rRNA from 1 species
UACGUAGGUGGCAAGCGUUGUCCGGAUUUACUGGGUGUAAAGGGCGUGUAGCCGGGCUGACAAGUCAGAUGUGAAAUCCCGGGGCUCAACCCCGGACCUGCAUUUGAAACUGUUGGUCUUGAGUAUCGGAGAGGCAGGCGGAAUUCCUAGUGUAGCGGUGAAAUGCGUAGGUAUUAGGAGGAACACCAGUGGCGAAGGCGGCCUGCUGGACGACAACUGACGGUGAGGCGCGAAAGCGUGGGGAGCAAACAGG